AUACUUACUUGGAUGGGGUCAAUGGGCGAUCAACAAGAUUCAUGGCCUAGGAUGGUGACCUCCAUUUCACUUUGGAGGGGUGCCCGCCUAAGGUCGGCCCAAGUGGUAGGCUACGUCAUAAUUUUUGAUAGUGGGGGCUUGCAUUCGCGCGACCCCCUA
rnacentral:snRNA from 1 species